rnacentral:lncRNA from 1 species
GUCAGGCCUGAGUUAGCUUCGCCAUACGGCGCUUUUCGCUGGUGUCUCUGCCUCGUUCUGAGUAGACCCCCUAGACCUCACCGCCGCCCCUGCGUUUUACCUCAGUAAGCUCGUCUGGUCUGUUCUUUCUGUGGGGCCGGCUCAGACCAGGCAAAAAACAAAAAGACAAUCCCACACUGAGGAAAAGACCAGGAGGCAAGACGUGGCUGUAAUUGCAGACACGCUGCUCCCUCAGCCAGCAAGCGCCACUUUUCCUCUUGGACGCCUAACUGGAGAUUAGAAAAUGUGGCUUUUGGUUUGCUAUUAAAUUCGGCAGACGCACUUAGUUGAAAAAUGGCCACGAUCUAAAUCCCUUUCGUGGCGUCUGAUCAAAUCGGAGCUCAAGCCGCAGCAGCCGGAAACCUCUUAGGCUGCUCGUGCCAAAGAAGGCCGCCCUUCUGGCGGCGUGAUGACAGCUUUACCACAUCGGCAACGUUGGCAUAGGCAUGAAAAAAUAAAGAGCACGAAGCAGUUGAGCUUUCAGCCUGUGACGAUGAUUUGUGGCAGCCGAGGAACACAGCCCAACGUAGCUUGGUUGUCCAGAAUUAUAAGUCAGAUUAUAAAUAGAUGGAACAUCUGAACUAUUUCCGUAUUUGGGGAAAUUGAAGCUGAAGUGGUAUUUGGAGUCUCACUCUUCCCACUCCCUGAAAAUACUGGCAUUGGGAACCCAACAGUAGUAGUGGGAAGCAGGCAGCAGAGGAAACGUGACCAACAGAGAUUCCCUAACUAGAGUGCUGAUGGGGCCGGACUUUGGCUGUAGUUCCUGCUGCAUGGCCUCCAUUUGUGCAUAUCCCUCUACAGGCUUUGUGCUAAUUUCUUUUUUUAAUUUUAAGUGAUAAAAUGUUCAUUGAUUCUUUGAGCUAGCUGGUAUCCUUCCAGUAAAUUUCUUUUCCUGAUGAGUUAAUCAGAAUUGGUUUCUUUUGUUUGCUAAGAACCCUGAACUCCAUGUCACAGUUUUGAGUAGAAGCAGGUCCUAUUUAUGAGGUCAGUUUUCCAAAUGAUCUGGCAUUUUUUUAGAUCUGUA